AACCUUCUCUUAAGAGACAAGUAACCAUACCUUAGGGGUAGUAAGAGCUAUUCAAAUCCUGAGAAGAUAUUGAUAGCUUCUCCCUGCCCAGAGCUUUUACUUAUGUACUUCAGUCCACAAAGUCUUCCUGAAUUGCUAAAGCUGCACAAUCUAAAUUCUACGCAUUUAUUGGAGAAGUCAUUCCCGGCCUGUCUGAGGACCUCUCUGCAUUAGUCCACAUGGACACUGUCUUCUCUUCUGUCCCUAGGCGAACCACCCAUGUUCCUAGUGAGAGGCAGCACCUCCACCUGUGCUCUACCCCAUCUCACCUACUCAAGGACAUCACUCUAGAAUUUUUCUCUUGUCUCUCCUGCAGCAUCAGAUUUUCCACUGUACUGGAUUAUUUUCAUUAGCAUUCAAAAAGGAUCUUAUAUCCAGUUGUCCACCUAUCAUCUCUGCUUUUGUCUUCUAUGCAUCUCAGACUUAGCACACCAAAAUGGAGCUUCUAAGGCUUCUGUAAGCAAGGCAGUGUCUAUUGGUAUAAGGAUGGAUGAAUAAUAGAUCAUGGAAUGGAAUAGAGAUCUUAGAAAUAGACGCAACUUUGUGGUCAGUUGUUUUUCAACAAAGGUACCAAAGCACUCCAACUGGAGAAAGGGGCUAAAAGAAUUAUGACUGGAGAAUAAGUUGAAGGAACUCCUUGAAGGAAAUCAAAUAGUAGCCAAAUGCAGCUACUUUUAUGAUGGUGACUAAUGCUUACACCUCCCUUGAUAUACACUAUGAUGGCUGUUUAGCACUUCACAUGAAUUAUUUCAUUUAAUUUUUUAUAGCAGUCUUACAACUAAGACUUUCAGAUAAGAAAACCGAGGCCCAAAAGUCAAAUAACUUUCUGUUAUAACUUGUGAGCAUAUUUUCCCAGGCAAUUAUAGACAAACAAUGCUGUGGGAAAAUAGCAUAAUAGUUUGUUCACUGCAUCUGGCCAGGCUCAUGGUAACAGCUGACUUGAUCCUUAGUGCUAACUCACCUGUGCUCACCCAGUGGGGAGAGAGCACAGAGUCCCUGGCUUCUGUCUCUGAGAUUCAGCUUCAGGUCCAGAGUGGCCACUGAUUUAGUUUGGUAAAACAUUAGG